GGGGGGAGGCCGGAUCCUGGGCUGUGUCCCCAGCGCCCUGUGCUCCCAGGCCUGUGGUGUUGGAUUCGCACUCCAGCCUCGCAGCGCCCU
rnacentral:pre_miRNA from 1 species